UUGGACCUGAUAUCAGCAAUGUUUUAACACGG
rnacentral:rRNA from 1 species